rnacentral:rRNA from 1 species
CAAUAGCGUAUAUUAAAGUUGUUGCAGUUAAAAAGCUCGUAGUUGAAUUUUUGCUUGCCGCCGAUGUCGGAACUUCCGUACGUUCGGCGGCGUGCAUCCUUGGGUGGAACCUGUGUGGCAUUAGGUUGUCGUGCAGGGGAUGCUCAUCGUUUACUGUGAAAAAAUUAGAGUGUUCAAAGCAGGCUUACGCCGUUGAAUAUAUUAGCAUGGAAUAAUAAGAUAGGACCUUGGUACUAUUUUGUUGGUUUGCGCACCGAGGUAAUGAUUAACAGGGACAGUUGGGGGUAUUCGUAUUCCAUUGUCAGAGGUGAAAUUCUUGGAUUUCUGGAAGACGAACUACUGCGAAAGCAUUUGCCAAGAAUGUUUUCAUUGA